UACGUAGGCAGCAAGCGUUGUUCGGAAUUACUGGGCGUAAAGAGUGUGUAGGCGGUGCUCCAAGUCUGGUGUGAAAUCUCCCGGCUCAACUGGGAGGGUGCGCUAGAAACUGGAAUGCUAGAGGAUGGGAGAGGUAAGCGGAAUUCCUGGUGUAGCGGUGAAAUGCGUAGAUAUCAGGAGGAACACCGGUGGCGAAGGCGGUGGUCUGGGCCAGUACUGACGCUGAGGAGCGAAAGCGUGGGGAGCGAACAGG
rnacentral:rRNA from 1 species